UUAUUUACCUGGCAGGGGAGAUACCAUGAUCACAAAGGUAGUGGUUACUCCAGAGUGAAGUUCUCAUCCACUGCACUGUGAGUGUGCUGACCCCCGAGAUUUCCCCAAAUGCAGGAAACUCAAGUAUUGUAAACUUCCC
ensembl:snRNA U1 U1 spliceosomal RNA